rnacentral:lncRNA from 1 species
CUUCAGCAUCAGGGAAUAAAACCAAGACAUCUCUAUGAGCUGUUAUUUUUACUGUGCUGACUGGAACCCAACAAAGAUUGUUAUACACGCUGAGCAGGCCAUAUCUGAAUAAUAACAGCCCAAAUGUGCAGAUGUCAGUGCCUGUAAGACCCAUGUAACUUUAUGCAAUCUGAUCCAAUCCCCAAAAAGAUAUGGAUAGUGCAAGACAAAUGUAAUAUUUGUUAUGUCACUGAAGCUUGGGCCUUAGUGUCAAAAAGAGGUUUUGACUUUGACGAAUCAUUUAUUUAUUUUGUUCCAGACAGAAUUUCACCUGAAGGCUACACGAUAUCAGAGCUGACAAGCUGAACAUGAAUGUCCCUUUUCAGAUAGAGGGAACCGGUAUAAGCUGUUUGAACUAGUUAAGCCCUGAGCACUGUGAUGUGGCAAACCCACCAUCAGUCAGACGUGAAUUACUCAUGAAACAUUGAUUUUCUCUCUCCUCUUUGCUCAUCGACGGGGGAUAUUUGGAUUUUAGCUUGAAUGAGUUGGUGUCAUCGAACUACAAGCAGCUUUUUGAAAGGUCUUUGCUAUUUUCAUGUUUCUUAAGCCGUCGCUACGUGUCCCUUUAGUGCAUCUGUCCUUUCCAUCCACCCCAGUCGCACUGAAUAGCGUCCUCCCUUGACAGUAAUCAAAAGUCUGUGUCGAUGAAUACAAAUUCACUCCUCAGUGGGCCUAAGACAACAUGCUUGUUUUAUAUGUGUUUCAGUCCUCUGCAGGGGGGAAAUAAAGCUCCGAUGGAAGACAGACCGUGUUCACAUCCUUAUUCAGUGAGGGCUGAGCUGCAGAGCAGUUGUGUUCCCAGGGUAAGCAUUCAAAUGACGCUGCAUCCUGAGCCAUCCGGAUGGGACUGGGGCACGGAAACAAUGUUCAUUUUGAACCUUUCCUUUCUAAGUACGAGCGAGGCACUUUGGCCUUAUGUAAGCAAUUUAUUCUGCAGUGCUGAUACAGCUGAGUGAUGUGAUGCAGCUCAUACACAGAAAUUACAAGGCUUUUGAAACUUGGGCCUCUUGAUUUAUAUGUAUUAAAUGUCAUUGGCCACCUAUAAAUGGUGGUUCCCAUCCUAAUUAUGCGGACAGUAAUAACCUUCUCUUAGUUAUUGUCUCUGCUGAGGUGUAUUCUCCGAAGCCUACGAGUGGGGAAAAAAAGCUG